AAGCAAAGAUGUUCCCGUGAAGAGGUGAAAAUCAUAGAUGGUUCACUCAUUCAACCACUUAUUGGUCAUCUACUAUGUGAUCAGCAUGGUGGGGUUACACCAAGACAAAGACUUUGAAGAAAAACACAGCAGCACCACUCAGCUGUGUUGUGGCGGAUGGACUACAGGAGGGAUUCCGAAUGUCUGAUGUAACAUGAGCACAGAUCCAGAGCAUGGAGUACCAGCUCUGUACAUAAGCAGCUUCAAGCCCAUACAAUCCCACAAACUCGAAAGAUGUGACUCCAGUGUACAAUUAUGCCUCCCAGCCACCCACCAAAAAUGCUCUCAUGUGAACCUCAGGGAUCUCCUUCAAGAUGGGACAUUCAGAAAGCAAGCCCCACCGCCACCAGGAAGACAGUGGGAGCAACCCAAAGGAGCUUUUCAUACCCGACCCCCUUCAAGCCACGUCCCAUCAAAGGAGCCUCCUCCUUCCACCAACAAAGCAACCCUUUUGUUUUUCCUGAGAAAGAAGGUAGUACCAGUAAGAAUGGAAUAUGAUAACCAUUUAGCUUUCACAAUAUUUCAUUUGGAAUCUAAACCCAACUGCAUUUUGUUCUGUAUCUUCCUGUCUCCAAAGCUGUACUUUAGGCAUCUAUUUGUAAAUUACUCGUAUAUACAGUGUGCAUGUGUGUAUGUAUCUCAAAGAAAGGAAUAUUUGAGAAGACCUUACCCCUGGGUAUCACCUAACUGAGUAUUAUUGUCUUCUCAGGAAUAUAAUCGUACAAAAAACUGGGAAAAUGCAGAGAUGCUGAAAGGUUGGGGGCCAAUCGAAAAAUGAUGUUUAAGGCUGAGAGAAUACCAUGACCCAACUCAAAGAAAAAGUGCUUAAAAGGAUUUCGGGUUAAAUUACAUUUUGUAAACCUGAUGGCUGUUUUCCUGAGGCUAGUUUCUUUUUUUUCAGUGCUUUGCUUUUAUUAAUCGGUUGAUUCACAGAAGGCUUUCAUUUCUCCUCAGGUCUCGUACAAUGUUAUAAUUUUACAAAGUCAAAUCUCACAUUGUAUAUUUGUAAAUAAUGCCCCUUUGGAUCCUAGACCACGCGUCCUUGGAUACUGUGUUGAAAAAAGAUUGAUGAAAUUGGUGUUCCCGAGGUGAUUACAAUCUGUCUGAUUAGGUGAAGAGUGACGGUAGGACCAGGGCUGUCUGAGGAGUGUAGUCGCUCUUCUGGCAGGCUCUUGAUGGAUACCAGAUUUUCUUGUUUUCCCUUAAGGUGCAUGACACCCAGGCCAAAGAAAUCAUUUCCUAAAUGGGCUUGCACUCAGACCAGGGCCUUCCACAGCUCGUUAUCGCUACAUGCGAGAAGGCUGAGCUGUACCACGGUCUUUUUAAUGAGGUUAAAUUUCUCACUAAGUGCAUUAUGGCCCCGCAUCAGACAUCGCCUAACACCCUGGUCAACCGCAUGAUCUUGGCCGUGAGAUCUGAGGCUUGAAAUCAAGGGACUAGUUACUUUAAAUCUAGAAGGUCUAGGAAGGACCUCCUACAAGGUACUUGAGCUAAUGUCAGCGGUCAGCUUCCUGCUUCUCAUACACAGCACUGAGAUGAAAAGGCCAUCUCAC